CACCGGUGUUCUCGCGAGCAGGGGCAGAACGCCGGGGAGGGUGUAACGUUGGCGUCACUAGCUUGGCCUCGUAGCGGUCCGUUACUUAGCUGUGGCUUCAAGUGCCCUAUUGGGGUUGUCAGGUCGAGCGCUGUGUGGGUUCCUACAGGGUGUCUUCCGGAGUAGGAGUCGGAAUCGGAACUCCUAGGAAAGACAGCAAUGUAGGCUCCACGAGGGCAGGAACCUGGUUGCUUUGUUCACUGCUACGUCCCCUGCACCCAGAUGUGGCACAUCGUAGGUAUUUGUUGGAAAGAUGAACGAAUCAAGUAACACUUGCAGGCAAGCUCAAAGAGAGACUUGUUUCUCUGAAGCUCAGGUGGAGAACAUCAGAGUCAAUGAUUCCUCUCUUGAUUUGGGUCAUGUCCAGCAUUGUGACUUCAGUUAAUUUUAGGACCCAGGAUACCUUUGUGUAUUGUUAAAACAAGAAGCUUUGUCUCUGGAAAUGUGAUGACUUGGUUCUGACAUUCGAAGAGAACUCUGGAGAUCAACAUGGUGUUACAAGGAGAGAACUGAAGUUUGGCUCUUGGGUCCCUUAGCUCAGAGCAUGCCAUAUCCUUCUCUUAUGUUUGCCCUUUCCCCGCCCUUGCCAUCACCCCAUUUGGGUUUGGAUUACCCUUGGCCUUCUGACUGGUACUCCAUCUGUACCCCAUGGCCCUGCUGGACUUCCAGAAGUACCAACUUUGAAUGUAACUUUGACUUCCUGUUGAAAACCCCCAGUCCAUACACAAAAGGCCAAAGUCCAAACUCACCAGCCUGAUAUUCGAGCCCUCUGAUAUCUGGCUCAGGGCCACCUGUUUCCAUUCUUGCCAACGCCUCACAUUUCUGGAUCUUAUGCAUCACUUAGCCUAGCCUAGCCUGAGACCAUCUCACAGGUCCUGAGCUUCCUCAUCUCCUGCCGUUCCACCCCUACCCCUACUCAUCUCCCAUGCCAGACGCCACCUUCAUCCUCUCCAGCUGGGCAAACCCACCCCUCCAUCACCCCGCACCCUUGUUUGCCCUGUAGUCUUCCCAAUCUUCUCAACAUAGAUGACAUUGUUAUCUGAGCCUUCCUGACAAUUUUCCCUUUCAGACCAGGCACUUAUGAGUAGAAGGGAGGCUGGGUUGGAAGCCUUUGGCAGGGCUACUGAGGACCCUUCUGCACCACGGCUUCACCCCAGCCCUGUCUCUGGAACCAUCCAUCCCCCAACCUGUUGGCCUUUGGCUUUUCAGAGCGCUGCCCUACACCUUCUGUCAGCUCCUGUUGUGACAGGUCCUGAUCGUGACCUGUUCUUGGUUUUGCCUGAGUGGCCCCUAUCCCUUCAGUGGAUAAAUAAUUAAAUAAUUGCAAUAAUAAUUAAAUAAUUUCAAUCCUU